rnacentral:rRNA from 1 species
UAGGGAAUAUUGGUCAAUGGUGGGAACACUGAACCAGCCAUGCCGCGUGCAGGAAGAAUGCCCUCUGGGUUGUAAACUGCUUUUGGGAAGGAAGAAAAAGAGGGAUGCGUCCCUUAUUGACGGUACUUUCAGAAUAAGCAUCGGCUAACUCCGUGCCAGCAGCCGCGGUAAUACGGAGGAUGCGAGCGUUGUCCGGAUUUAUUGGGUUUAAAGGGUGCGUAGGCGGCUUGUUAAGUCAGCGGUAAAAUACGGAAGCUUAACUUCCGACCUGCCGAUGAUACUGAUGAGCUUGAGUAUUGCUUGGGCAGAUGGAAUUUGUGGUGUAGCGGUGAAAUGCAUAGAUACCACAAGGAACACCGAUAGCGAAGGCAGUUUGCUGGGCAAUAACUGACGCUGAGGC